GUGGGGAAUAUUGGACAAUGGGCGAAAGCCUGAUCCAGCCAUGCCGCGUGUGUGAAGAAGGUCUUCGGAUUGUAAAGCACUUUAAGUUGGGAGGAAGGGCAGUAAGUUAAUACCUUGCUGUUUUGACGUUACCAACAGAAUAAGCACCGGCUAACUUCGUGCCAGCAGCCGCGGUAAUACGAAGGGUGCAAGCGUUAAUCGGAAUUACUGGGCGUAAAGCGCGCGUAGGUGGUUUUGUAAGUUGGAGGUGAAAUCCCCGGGCUCAACCUGGGAACUGCCUCCAAAACUGCAUGACUAGAGUACGGUAGAGGGUAGUGGAAUGUCCUGUGUAGCGGUGAAAUGCGUAGAUAUAGGAAGGAACACCAGUGGCGAAGGCGACUACCUGGACUGAUACUGACACUGAGGUGCGAAAGCGUGGGGAGCAAACAGGAUUAGAUACCCGAGUAGUCC
rnacentral:rRNA from 1 species